AUGUAUGCUCCGAGCCGGCUGCCUACCGCCGAUCAUGGGGACAUUAACGUCAUUCAGAAAAUUGCCAAGUAUACUCCAAUGGUUGGCCAAGAGCGCAAUUUGUUGUUGCCAAAACCACCUCCACAAAUACUACCACCAGACAAGGCGCUUGAUGAUGGUCUCGAGAAAUUCAAGCUCAGCCCCUCGCAGCACAACGCGGUGCUGGACUGCGUUUCAGCAAUGCAUCAAGAUACGUCGUGUUGGGUGCGCCUCAUCUGCGGGCCUCCGGGGACAGGGAAAACCAAGACCAUGGUGGCCCUGUUGUGGUCCAUGAUGAUGAAGAACCACAGGACACUGGCCCUCGCCCCGACCAACACCGCGAUGAUGGAGGUCGCGUCCAGUCUCCUCGCUCUCUUCGAUCGCGAUUCGCCCUUCUCCUGGAGCGACGUGGUGGUGCUUGGCAGCAAGGAUCUUGUCUAUGCCGUGGAUGCAAACCUCAGGGAGAUGUUACUCCAGCGGUGUAUUUCCCGGCUCAAUCAUGUCGAGGACUGGAGCGACCAUUUGAACAACUUGUUACACCUUCUUGAGAAGCCGUGGAGUUUGUAUUGCUCGUACCGUUGGGACGCCAGGAAGGAGUACGAGGAAUGUGAUUGGGAGCUGCAGGGACCAGAGCUCGGGAGGUGGGAUGAGCAAGGAGGGACAGUGUCAUUUACGGAAUUCUUCGUGGACAACUACGAACACUUUGAAGAAUGUCUGCGCCGCUGCCUAAAAGCUUACCGCAACGACCUCCCCCUCCCCGCAAGGUGCGAGCAGAGCUUCCCUUUUAUAGAUGAGCUCCUGCACGCGCUCGAAACUUUGGGGGACCUCCUGCGGGCCGACCCGGAACGGCUGAUGCGAAAGCUCUUCUUCAAGAAGCCGGUGGGGUGGCCGGAGUUUCUGGAAGCAAGAGCCGUGUGCAUCGACAAGCUGAAGCAAUUGCCCGACCACUUUCACGUCCCAACCUCUUAUGACAAAUUCGAAGAGUACAUACUGAACAAUGCUAAGAUCAUACUUUGCACCGCUUGUACCUCGUCCCAGCUGAGCCAGGGCAGGAAACUUGGGGAACUUAAGCCAAUCGACCUUCUUGUUGUUGAUGAGGCGGAGCAGCUGAGGUAG
rnacentral:rRNA from 1 species